rnacentral:rRNA from 1 species
AUAUUGGCCAAUGGACGCAAGUCUGAACCAGCCAUGCCGCGUGCAGGAAGACGGCUCUAUGAGUUGUAAACUGCUUUUGUACGAGGGUAAACGCAGAUACGCGCAUCUGUCUGAAAGUAUCGUACGAAUAAGGGUCGGCUAACUCCGUGCCAGCAGCCGCGGUAAUACGGAGGAUUCAAGCGUUAUCCGGAUUUAUUGGGUUUAAAGGGUGCGUAGGCGGUUUGAUAAGUUGGAGGUGAAAUGUUAGGGCUUAACCCUGAAACUGCCUGCAAUACUGUUGGACUAGAGAGUAGUUGCGGUAGGCGGAAUGUAUGGUGUAGCGGUGAAAUGCUUAGAGAUCAUACAGAACACCGAUUGCGAAGGCAGCUUACCAAACUAUAUCUGACGUUGAGGCACGAAAGCGUGGGGAGCAAACAGG